rnacentral:misc_RNA from 1 species
AGGGCUUAAGCCUUUUCACACACUUAACUAAGAUGGCGGAAGGUAGCCAGGCCUCAGACAGGUAAGACCGUGUAGAAUUAAAAUCCUACCAGCAAAACAAUCUCGCCUCUGUAAGUAGACCAAAGAAAAAGAGUACCAACGUGAAUCCGAUGUGAUGCAUAUAUAAUGUAUAUUAUAUAUACACACAUAUCCCUAAGUGAAGGUUGAAGAAUCGUGUCGACAGCACUCGAAUGGUGUGAUCUAGUCACAAUGAAAAUCCCGUUUUACUAGACACAGUCUCUUUUACUUGUAGAGUAGCUGCAGUGGGCGGAAAAAGAGAUAACCUGGGUUCAAAAUCUCUGUCUAACUGAUACCUUGAUUCAGGGUAGAAAUUACAUACAAAUGAAGUAGAAAUUUUGUUUGUAUCUAGUAAAGCAAGCAGCGCAGGAAACCCUUUGAGUGAUGAAGAUGACAUGACACACUUGGACGUCGAGGACAUGUCUCUUGAGGCAGUGCCAAAAUCGAAAAUUCCCGUUCAAUCUGAUGACAGUUCAUCAUAUGAGAAGGAUUCUUCUGUCAGUUAUUAUGAUGCCCUCCCAAGAGAUGAAAGUAGGAACCCAUAUAACCUACGUGCUCGAAAUACGCGUGUACGCCAGCACAGCUAUCUCUCUAGCAGUGUGUCAAGUUCAACAGAACGACGAAACGUUAUUUUUGAUAUGAGGCACACAGAAGCGACUGGGUCUUGUGGAAAGUCGUAUAUUCCAGGUAAUCGUUCCUACCUGUCAUCCCAUUUUUCUGCUAGGGGAGACUCCAUCAUUGAGGUUUCUGUAAAAUCAAAAACCAUGAGCAUUUUUGUGAUCGCAGCAAAGCGGACAGACAGGUAUCUGCUUGUACAGGGCGAAGUGACGACAAGAUGUACUCGACUACAUCCUGAACUCACCCAGCAGCACAUCGUCCAAAUAGCAUUUCCAGAAACUAAUGAGCACACCUCAGACGAAAAGUUUUGCUUCUUUGUGAAAGAUCAUCGUUUGGAGAGAUUUGAUGUACUUCAUCUCCAGGCCAGUAGUGAGCAAGUAAUGACAGUAAAAGUAGUUAAAAUCAAAGCUAUCCGAUUUUCGUUUGUGUAUCGUUGCGGUGUAUUUUACGAAAAACACUUCAUCGUUAAAGGAAAGAACACGGACUGUUUGAGUGAACUAAAAUCAAAAUUUCUCGGAAGAUUCUUAAAAAACGAACAUCGUCACAAAGUCGUUCAUCCUGAUUGUGUUUGGUUUAUACUCAACAACAGAUUAGUUUCGGAGCAAGUGUUACAAUCAGCACUAUGUACAUCUUUUAGCAAGAGGUUACUAAUCAGAGAUGAAAGGUUGGGAGCAUACGGCUCCAAAAACAACUCUCUGACAAUGUAUGUUCACUUUCAAGCAGCUGAUGCAGUUCCUCUCAAAGUCCACUUUAAACCGGAUAGAAAGACCAGCAAAAUAGAGAUGUUAACUGUAAUAUCACCUUCAAUUUCUGAGACACAGCUGCGUCUACAGUUGGCGCUCGUUACAGAGGUGGAGCCAGAAGUCAUCAAAAUUGUUUUUGGAAAAAAGAAGCUGAAUGCUAAACUUGACAUUCAGCAAGCAUUGCGAGACAAUUCCAUUGUUUCAGUGGAAGUGAAACAGGAAAUCACUAUUGAGGUAGAGAUUUUCCAUCUACCUGAGUCGUCAGGUAAGGCAACAAGCAUCUCAGUGUGCAUGUACCCUUAUGAUCGCAUCAGCAAGAUUAAGUCAGAGGUGUGCACCAAGUGUCGUGCAAUGAAAGAAAAUGUGGACAUCUUUUUCGGAGACAAAUGCUUGUCUGAUAAGAUGACUGCAAGCGAAUGCCGAUUUAAAGACACAGACUCUGUCAAAGCAUAUGUGUUCUCUGAAAGGGUUUGCAUCAGAGUUCGAUCAGCCAGUCGACGUCUGUAUGAUGUAGUUAUCGAUGAUGCUGGAAAGACUACAGUAGGUGAUGUCAAGAAUUUCAUGCACAAAAUAGACAGUCCUACGUCCGCACAACACCAGUUUUCAACAGUCGCCAUUCUCGAUGGCCGAGUUCUUCAAGACGACGAAAUGCUUAUAAAUACAGGAAUCUGUUCAAAAUGUAAAGAAGCAGUUUUGGUUUUCAUUCACACAGACACCAUUUGCUUCACUUCGUCUUCCUCUUUAAAUGGAAAGUUUGUGAUAUUUCGUGACUCUGGAGAAGGAUGGUUUCAACUGACAUUGGCAAUGUCUGACGGAAAGGACCUUUUCUACGGUAAGAUGGUGUUAAUAAGUAAAAAUAAGGAUAGAUAUCUGGAGACGUUUAAAGCCAUUUUAAUAAUUUUAGUUAAAUCAUGUAAGUAUUUUCACGGAGGCUUUUGUAUUUCUGGUUUUGGCCAUUCUGGGCCGUUCAAAAUGAAAUGUCAGAAAAAGGAAAUGUCUUUCUCAAAAUACAUUAACAAUUUAUAAACCAUACGAUCAAAAAUUGGCUAAGCAAGUAAGAUGAAUAUUCAAAUAAUCUAUCACUGAAGUAUAUUUUAAGCAAUUAUACAUGUUUAAAAUAGAAUUGCAUAAUCAUGUGAAAUGUUGUCCGUUGAAUUAAGAAAACUACAUGGAUGCUUCAUUGCAAUAAUUCUGCAUAAUUUGCAAUUCUUUUAUUGUGUUUAAUAAUAUUUUGAAGCACCCGAGGUUUCUCCGACCAUAGAGAAGAUACUGAGUCUCGUGAAAGAGAGGAAUUUAACCCCUUCAGUCUUGCCUGGCCCUGUAGAUGGCAUUCAACUACUUCCACCCAGGCAGGUGACGAACAGAAAGAAAAUGGAAAGAUGUCGUACACAAAGCUGUGAAUUGACUGAUUUACCACCAUCACCUCAAUGGCAGGGAAGAUGUCGCCAUCCGUCCGAGGCCACCUGUCUUUCGCAUGAGCUUGAGAAUCAUGGUGAUCGUAACAACAGAAUAGUCGACUGGUCUCUUGGGGAUAGCCAGACUGAAGCUCAAAUCACAAAACAAGAUAGCAUAACUGACUGGCCUGCCUUACAGACAGAUUGCACACCAGGUCCCCAAACUUCCACACCUAAGACCGUCCGGCGCAGUGUAUCAGCAGGCAGUCUACGAGGAGUUGCCGGAGAUACUCGUGUCAGUCCAGCAAGAACUCUCAAGUUUCAACACUCCGUUUCCGACACAUUUUCGGAAAAUUUGCGCAAAUUUCAAGACUUGCCCUCGAACUCCGAUGGAGAAUUUGCAAGCUCUAAGCGAAGACAGUUUAUUCACAGGUCCUCUACCUACCAAAGCCUGCAGGAAGACGCUGAUGGCAAGUGGACACUGCGCCAGAUCUCAGAGAGUGAGACGUCACUUCCGGCAGAAGCAGCGCAGAAGCAGCUGGCCUGCGGGACCAACUGGAUUUCAACAGACGAUCCUAAAGACCGAGAGAAGGUGUACUGCUCUUCCUUGUUACAGUAUCUACCAGACAACACAACAAGCCUUGGGGAUUCUACUUUCAGAUACAUAAAGAAGACUAUUAUUCACGAGGUGUCCAAGAAAAUAGCUCGCGAUGGCAUGAAGCUAUGCCGUCAUCUUGGUGUCUUGGAUGAGACAGUGGAGGAAGCCAAAGAAGCACAUCCCCUGAACCUGUCGGAACAGAAUUACUACUUAUUGAAAUGCUGGUGCCGCUCUGCUGCAGAGAAGGCAACGGCUGAAGCUCUCAAAACUGCAUUGAGAGAGUGUCAGAGGAAUGAUCUUGUUGCUCUGGUUGAUGAUCUUCAAGUGGAACCCACGACAUGUUAAGGAAAAUGUUGCAAAAUAACAGUUAAUUCCUCUUAAAUAGUCUUAUAUCUCUGGUUCAUCCCUAAGUGAAAAAGGGAUACCGUGGGAUUAUCAUCUCUCAACUUGAGAUACAUGCCUUUUCUAAUAGAUACUUCUUAUUACAAUGACCACUGGUUUUAAUCGAAAAUAAAAUAAUGAUAAUAAAAUAAUUUGUAUAUUUUUCUGGAAAAUAUUUAAGAGUAAGAAUUUAAGGCGCGAGACGAUAGGACAAAUAUUGUAUAUAUGUGGCUAUGAAAUUUGAGAUUGUGAGCACACACAAUAUUUAAUUAGCAUUUAUUAAGCAAAGUCAGCAGGUCUAAGAAAUAUCUCAAAAUGAGAGAAAGAAAGAAAGUCUGGUUUCAAAGUACAUUCCCUUGUUCAUGUUAAAUAUAUAUGACUGUGUACUUUAUAGCUAAGUUCACAAUUGCUGGCCACUAUAGAUUCAUAUUUUUCUAUUUUGUCUGAAAAAAGUAUUGAUCAGAUAUCCCAUAUUUUUUCUAUUUUGUCUGAAAUAAAAUAUUGUUCAGAAUAUUUUUUCUAUUUUGUCUGAAAAAAAUAUUGUUCAGAUAUCCCAUAUUUUUUCUAUUUUGUCUGAAAUAAAAUAUUGUUCAGAUAUUCAAACAAUGUAUUGCAGUUAUACAUUACCAAAAGUUAUUCAUGUCAUAAAAUAAGCAU